rnacentral:rRNA from 1 species
UACGUAGGGGGCGAGCGUUGUCCGAAGUUACUGGGCGUAAAGCGCGCGUAGGCGGUCGAUUAAGUCUGGGGUGAAAAGGUUCAGCGCUCAACGCGAACAGUGCCUUGGAUACUGGUUGACUUGAGUUGGGGAGGGGGAAGUGGAAUUCCGGGUGUAGCGGUGAAAUGCGUAGAUAUCCGGAGGAACACCGAUGGCGAAGGCAGCUUCCUGGCCCACAACUGACCGCUGAGGUGCGAAAAGCGGUGGGGGAGCGAAACGGGG